rnacentral:rRNA from 1 species
AACAAACGCUGGCGGCGUGCCUAAUACAUGCAAGUCGAACGGGGAAAGCUUUCGGGUGAGUACUAGUGGCGCACGGGUGAGUAACGCGUGGAUAAUCUGCCUUUGAGUGGGGGAUAACUAGUCGAAAGAUUAGCUAAUACCGCAUAAGACCACAGGAACUGAGGUUCUAGGGGUUAAAGGUUUUUCGCUCAUAGAUGAGUCCGCGUGAGAUUAGCUAGUUGGUGAGGUAACGGCUCACCAAGGCGACGAUCUCUAACUGGUCUGAGAGGAUGAUCAGUUACACUGGAACUGAGACACGGUCCAGACUCCUACGGGAGGCAGCAGUAGGGAAUAUUGCGCAAUGGAGGAAACUCUGAUGCAGCGACGCCGCGUGAGUGAUGAAGGCUUUCGGGUCGUAAAGCUCUGUCGCAGGGGAAUAACACAAUGAAUGUACCCUGUAAGAAAGGAUCGGCUAACUUCGUGCCAGCAGCCGCCGUAAUAC